ensembl:lncRNA
UCUGUAUCACUUGAUAAUUUAACUGUUUUUAUCUAAGGUUGUCCAGAAGGAGAAGCAGUAUCAAGCUAGCAUCUUCCAAGCCAGGUUCUCAAAGACGCCGCAGCAAAGAGCAGCCCCAGACCCCCGGCACUCUGGGGGAAGAGGUGUCUGCACCCGACCCUGYGGUAAGGUCUCAGCCCAGUGUUAAAACGGAGCUUCCAGCACUGCCGGUGACACUGACUGGGAAAUGGCCAGCUGAAGGGCAAGUUCCAGUGGCAAAAAAGGAUUUUAACAGCUGCCCUCAGGUGGAGUUAGGGAAGGGAGAUGGCGCCUGUAAGGCUGUCGCRGGGGAGCAGUUGCCCAAAGGGGCUGGAGUUGCUGAGCUGCCUGCUGUGUCAUCUGUCAGUGUGGUCCUUGGUGGCCAGAGAGCAGGGGAGGGGGAAGAGACCCCCAAAAGAACAAGUACCUCCACUCCCAAGGCUGCUAGAAAUGGAGAUCCCGCCACAGACCAAGGCGAUCGGUCUCCUCAAGGCCUAGAAAAAGUGCUUUUCCAGGACUCCGACAGCAAAAUGACCGCAAURAGAGCCAAAGCACGCCGCUGCUCUGGACGCCGAAGCUUUGUGGGUGGCCCCCAUAAAAGCCGUAGGGCYUCCUUGGCAGAAAAGUACUCACUGGCCAGCAAAAGAGAGAGCAUGAUCCGGAGGUCUAUCAGCAGGGCCAUUUCAAAGAAGGCAGCAACUCGAGAAUCGUCCUCUGCCUCCAGCAGAGUGAGCUGUCAAAGCUCUGUGGAGGUGUUUGUGGAAGAUGAGGUGACCAGCAGCGUGAGGUGAGGUUACCCUGCAAAGCAGGCAGAAAGAAGUCACAGAAAACCCUGCAAGGAAACUAUAUGGGUCACUCCUAUGUUACAGAUCUGG